GAGGAAUUAAGGCAAUUCAGAGUCUUAGUUUUUACCAAAUAGACAUGCAGAUAAAUAUAGAAUGAAAAUGAAGAACAUUUGGCUAAAGAACUACUACAAUCCAAAUUGGAGAGAACUAGUUAUUAGAAACUUUUUCUUCACCAAACAAAUUUAAAUGGGUAUUAGAAACUUAAUCUUCACCAAACAAGUUUAAAUGGGUAUUACCCAAAAGCACGCCAAUUCAGCUCAAAAUUAAAGCAAAAACAGAUAAACAAGGAAAAAAAUAGAACAGAACGAACUAAAAAACUAAGCUAAAUUUAUGCAAAAGAACUCACAAAUUAAGCCAACAAACUCCAAUUCCUUUCUGGGUUUUUCAAUUCAUCAAAAACCCAUUACAAGCCCCAUGAAAACUGUCUGGAUCGCUUUCUCUGAUCUAACUUAUUAAAGCUAUCUGUCGAGAGCUUUCUGGGUUGUAGCCUGUUUAUUUUGUUUUUACACAGAGAGAGAAAAGGGGGAGCAGUUGGUUGAAUUAAAGGUGAUCAGGCAUGAACAAGUUCUUCAUGUUGUGGACAAUGCGUGAGAGGAGCCGUUUUGUCGUUACUGUUUUGGUGUCCUUCACCUUUCAGAAGAAUAUGGAAUUUUUAAGAAAGAGAGCCCCUACUCUCUCUCUCUCACUAAAUCUUUCUCUAUGAAAAUUGAAUACGAUUCGUAUCCAAAUUUUUAUGUUCA
rnacentral:lncRNA from 1 species